UAUGUUGGUUAUGAUUUGUUUUACUCCAGUUAUGAAUUCAUGAACUUUAGAUGUGGUUUACUUUUCUGCUUUGAUUAAGAACUUGUUUAUGUAUGUGGGUUGAGGGUCGACACUUAAUUUGCAUGCCUAAACUUGAUGCUAGGAUAUAAGGGAAUUUCACCUAAUCGUUAUGAACUUAUAUUCAUGAGUAGUAAAGAUCGUUAGUCACGAUUGUGUUUAAGUAAACCCUAGGCUGGAUUAACAUGCGUAUUCCAUAGUUAUGAAUGUCUAGUCAAUGUUUAUGAUUUCCGUUGAACUUAAUGAUCUUUGUUG
rnacentral:lncRNA from 1 species